UAGAAUAUGUCAGAGGUGGGUAGCACUACACGUGUAGCAGUGAAUUGAGUAGAUAUGUGGAGGAAUAUCAAUGGCGAAGGCAGCCCCCUGGGAUAAUAUUGACGCUCAUUCACGUAAGCGUCGGGAGCAUACAGGAUGACAUACCUUGGUCGUCCACGCCGUAAACGAUGUCUACUAGUUGUUGGUGGAGUAAAAUCCACGAGUAACGCAGCUAACGCCUGAAGUAGACAGCCUGGGGAGUACGGUUGCAAGAUUAAAACUCAAAUGAAUUGACGGGGACCAGCACAAGCGGUGGAUUAUGUGGAUUAAUUCGAUGCAACGCGAACAACCUUACUUGUCCCUGACAUGUACGGAACUUUCCAGAGAUGGAUUGGUGCUCGAAAGAGAGCUGUAACACAGGUGCUGCAUGGAGGUCGUCAGCUCGUGUCGUGAGAUGUAGGGUUAAGUCCCGCAACGAGCGCAACCCUUGCCAAUAAUUGCCAUCAUUUAGUUGGGCACUUUAUUGGGACUGCCCAUGACAAAUCGGAGGAAGGUGGGGAUGACGUCAAGUCCUCAUGGCCCUUAAGGCCAGGGCUUCACACGUAAUACAAUGGUCGGUACAGAGGGUUGCCAACCCGUGAGGGGGAGCCAAUCCCAGAAAGCCGAUCGUAGUUCGGAUUGCAGGCUGCAAUUCGCCUGCAUGAAGUCGGAAUCGUUAGUAAUAGUGGAUCAGCAUGUGGCGGGGAAUACGUUCCCGGGCCUUGUACACCCCGCCCGUCACACCAUGGGAGUGGGUUUUUCCAGAAGUAGUUAGCCUACCCGUAAGGAGGGCGAUUACCACGGUAGUAUUCAUGAGUGGGGUGAAGUCGUAACAAGGUAACC
rnacentral:rRNA from 1 species